UACGAAGGGGGCUAGCGUUGUUCGGAAUUACUGGGCGUAAAGCGCGCGCAGGCGGCUAUCCAAGUCAGUGGUGAAAGCCCGGAGCUCAACUCCGGAACUGCCAUUGAAACUGUUUAGCUGGAGUAUGAGAGAGGUGAGUGGAAUUCCCAGUGUAGAGGUGAAAUUCGUAGAUAUUGGGAAGAACACCGGUGGCGAAGGCGUCUCACUGGCUCAUUACUGACGCUCAUGCGCGACAGCGUGGGGAUCAAACAGG
rnacentral:rRNA from 1 species